GACGAACGCUGGCGGCGUGCCUAAUACAUGCAAGUUGAGCGAUGAAGAUUGGUGCUUGCACCAAUUUGAAGAGCAGCGAACGGGUGAGUAACGCGUGGGGAAUCUGCCUUUGAGCGGGGGACAACAUUUGGAAACGAAUGCUAAUACCGCAUAACAACUUUAAACAUAAGUUUUAAGUUUGAAAGAUGCAAUUGCAUCACUCAAAGAUGAUCCCGCGUUGUAUUAGCUAGUUGGUGAGGUAAAGGCUCACCAAGGCGAUGAUACAUAGCCGACCUGAGAGGGUGAUCGGCCACAUUGGGACUGAGACACGGCCCAAACUCCUACGGGAGGCAGCAGUAGGGAAUCUUCGGCAGUGGACGAAAGUCUGACCGAGCAACGCCGCGUGAGUGAAGAAGGUUUUCGGAUCGUAAAACUCUGUUGGUAGAGAAGAACGGUGGUGAGAGUGGAAAGCUCAUCAAGUGACGGUAACUACCCAGAAAGGGACGGCGAACUACG
rnacentral:rRNA from 1 species